GACGAACGCUGGCGGCGUGCCUAAUACAUGCAAGUAGAACGCUGAAGGAGGAGCUUGCUCUUCUGGAUGAGUUGCGAACGGGUGAGUAACGCGUAGGUAACCUGCCUGGUAGCGGGGGAUAACUAUUGGAAACGAUAGCUAAUACCGCAUAAGAGUAGAUGUUGCAUGACAUUUGCUUAAAAGGUGCAAUUGCAUCACUACCAGAUGGACCUGCGUUGUAUUAGCUAGUUGGUGAGGUAACGGCUCACCAAGGCGACGAUACAUAGCCGACCUGAGAGGGUGAUCGGCCACACUGGGACUGAGACACGGCCCAGACUCCUACGGGAGGCAGCAGUAGGGAAUCUUCGGCAAUGGACGGAAGUCUGACCGAGCAACGCCGCGUGAGUGAAGAAGGUUUUCGGAUCGUAAAGCUCUGUUGUAAGAGAAGAACGAGUGUGAGAGUGGAAAAGUUCACACU
rnacentral:rRNA from 1 species